rnacentral:tRNA from 1 species
GCCUGGGUGGCUCAGUCGGUUGAGCGUCUGACUUCAGCUCAGGUCACGAUCUCGCGGUUUGUGAGUUCGAGCCCCACGUCGGGCU